rnacentral:rRNA from 1 species
UACGUAGGGACCAAGCGUUGUUCGGAUUUACUGGGCGUAAAGGGCGCGUAGGCGGCAUGACAAGUCACUUGUGAAAUCUCCGGGCUUAACUCGGAACGGUCAAGCGAUACUGUCGCGCUAGAGUGCGGAAGGGGCAAUCAGAAUUCUUGGUGUAGCGGUGAAAUGCGUAGAUAUCGUAAGGAAGACCAGUGGCGAAGGCGGGUCUCUGGACAGUUCCUGACGCUGAGGCACGAAGGUCAGGGGAGCAAACGGG